AUGGACCUCCUCGAGAUCCCGCUGCCCAACAUGUUCGAGAAGCUCCUCGGCAAAGAUGAGGACACGUGGCCCCCGGAGGCGCGCUUCCUCGUCGCCGCGCACUACGGCAACGUCCGCCGCCUCAAGGAGAUCGCCGGGAAGCUGGACCGCAAGGGGAAGGCGGGGGAGGAGGCCACGGUGGCCGCCACCACCUACCGCGGCAUGAACGCGCUCCACGCCGCCGUCGGGGGCCAGGGCAAGCUCGCCGCCUGCCGCUACCUCGUCGAGACCGUCAGGAUGGACGUCAACAUGUGGGACUCCUCCCCAAGCAAGAAGACGCCGCUGGAGCACGCCGUGGACGGCAACAACCUGCCCGCCCUCAGGUACCUCCUCGACCAUGGCGCCGAUCUCAACCAGGAAGAGGACGACGGCGACACUGUCCUUCAUCACGCUGCAAGGAAAGGGAGGUGUGAAAUAGUAAAGUUGCUGCUUGCUAGAGGAGCCGACGUUAACGGCAGCUCAGAGCACGGGACACCACUCCAUCUUGCUGCUGUUAAAGGGCAUGAGAGCACUGUGGAGGUUCUGUUGGAACACCAUGCAGAUGUCAACAAGGUUGUGACUUCUAAUCUAGUAACACCUCUAAAGGCCGCAUUGCUUAGUGCUUCCACGCCUUGUGUGAAGUUAUUGGUUCAGGCUGGAGCUGAUGUGAAUGAUGUCAGCAAUUCCUUGGCAAGAGCUGCAAGCGAAGGCUUGACUGAAUGUGUUAAGUGCUUGCUGGAGGCUGGUGCAGACCCAAAUCGUCCUGAUGAGUGUGGUAGAUUCCCGAUAGAGUUAGCUGCUGUGUAUGGUACAAGGGAAGACGUUGAGCUUCUAUAUCCUGUCACCUCCCCAAUUCCAACUGUGGCAGACUGGAGCAUUGAUGGGAUAAUUAAUCAUGCCAAACUGGAGAGGAUGCAGCUGCAGGAUGAGGAUGUUCUUAACACAAGGAAGUCUGACCUGAAACGAAAAGGGGAUGAAGCAUUUGAAAAGCAGGAUUACACAAGUGCAUCAGAGUUCUACACACAGGCACUGAAAGUUGAUCCUUCUGAUGGCAAGAUGCUCGCGAGCAGGAGCCGCUGCUGGCUUCAGCUUGGCGACGGACAGAAGGCUUUGGAGGAUGCAACCAGAUGCAAGAGGAGGUGCCCGGAGUGGGCGGAGGCCCGCCUUCGCCGAGGACAGGCUCUGAUGCUGCUAAAGGACUAUGAGAAAGCUUGCGAGGAGCUGUCGGGCGGCGUGGAGCUGGACCCCGAGAACGAUGAGAUGGACAAAUUGUUCUGGGAGGCGAUGGAACUGAAGAAGAAGUGA
rnacentral:rRNA from 1 species